rnacentral:sRNA from 1 species
UACGAAUGCACAAUCGACAAGUUCGGGU